GACGAACGCUGGCGGCGUGCUUAACACAUGCAAGUCGAACGGUGAAGCACCUUCCUUUUGGUGGGUGUGGAUGAGUGGCGAACGGGUGAGUAACACGUGAGUAACCUGCCCCCUUCUUCUGGAUAACCGCAUGAAAGUGUGGCUAAUACGGGAUAUUCUGUGCCUGCUGCAUGGUGGGUGUGGGAAAGAUGCGCUUUUGGGUGUUUUUGGUGGGGGAUGGGCUCGCGGCCUAUCAGCUUGUUGGUGGGGUGAUGGCCUACCAAGGCGGUGACGGGUAGCCGGCCUGAGAGGGUGGACGGUCACACUGGGACUGAGACACGGCCCAGACUCCUACGGGAGGCAGCAGUGGGGAAUAUUGCACAAUGGGCGCAAGCCUGAUGCAGCGACGCCGCGUGAGGGAUGGAGGCCUUCGGGCUGUAAACCUCUUUCGCCAGUGAAGCAGGCCUGUCCCUUGUGGGUGGGUUGACGGUAGCUGGAUAAGAAGCGCCGGCUAACUACGUG
rnacentral:rRNA from 1 species